rnacentral:rRNA from 1 species
UUUACUGAGAGUUUGAUCCUGGCUCAGGACGAACGCUGGCGGCGUGCCUAAUACAUGCAAGUCGUGCGGACCUUUUAAAAGCUUGCUUUUAAAAGGUUAGCGGCGGACGGGUGAGUAACACGUGGGCAACCUGCCUGUAAGAUCGGGAUAACGCCGGGAAACCGGGGCUAAUACCGGAUAGUUUUUUCCUCCGCAUGGAGGAAAAAGGAAAGACGGCUUCGGCUGUCACUUACAGAUGGGCCCGCGGCGCAUUAGCUAGUUGGUGGGGUAACGGCUCACCAAGGCAACGAUGCGUAGCCGACCUGAGAGGGUGAUCGGCCACAUUGGGACUGAGACACGGCCCAAACUCCUACGGGAGGCAGCAGUAGGGAAUCUUCCGCAAUGGACGAAAGUCUGACGGAGCAACGCCGCGUGAGUGAAGAAGGCCUUCGGGUCGUAAAACUCUGUUGCCGGGGAAGAACAAGUGCCGUUCGAACAGGGCGGCGCCUUGACGGUACCCGGCCAGAAAGCCACGGCUAACUACGUGCCAGCAGCCGCGGUAAUACGUAGGUGGCAAGCGUU